AUGACUUUAAUUUACAUAUUUCCUAAGCCACCCUAUCAAUGUUUUCUGUUCCUUAUUUGGUUAUUCAUCACUAAAGAAAUUUUAAACUCUAUUUCUGUUUUGCAAAUGCUGAGAACAACACGCCAACUGAGAGCAAAGGGUUGUAUUCCUAGAAGAAGUAUGCUAAAUUCAGAGAGAUGGAAUUUUGCACUCAUCUGCACACUGCUGCCAACAUGCCAGAGCUAUCUGAGGGAGGAAUUACCUCCAGGGAUGAGAGUGGAACUGCUCUUACAGCUCCUGGGGAAAGGUUACAUCCUUUCACCUGGCUUCUUCUGAAAACCGGGCAUUUGGAAACCCCUUGAGUAUAUUUGCUGCAGCCUUUUUUUGAUUCUUCCACAGCAACUGUGCUUGUCAGGCCAAGGAAACUCAAUACAAAGGGAACCACUGAUCAGCAGGUAUCAGAACUGUCUUGGCAGUUGGAAAGAAAAUUCUGCAGGUCAGUGCAUUCUAACAUUUUACAGAUGAAAAGUGCAAUGCACGUUGUCCUAGUCUCCCCGUAACUAGCAUAGUAAAAGAAAGAAUAAAGAUUCUGAAGAGCUUGUGUGCUAUUGUAGA
rnacentral:lncRNA from 1 species